GAUGAACGCUGGCGGCGUGCCUAAUACAUGCAAGUCGAGCGAACAGAUGAGGACUUUGCUCCCCUACCUUUACCGCCGGCCGGUUAGUUAACCCUUGGUUACCCUCCUUUUAAGCCUGGGUUACCUUCGGAAAACCGGAGCUAAUACCGGAUAUUAUUUUAACCCCCUUGGUCCAUUAUUAAAAGCCGGUUUUCCUUUCCCUAUAGAUUGAUUCGCGCCGCAUUAGCUAGUUGGUAAGGUAACGGCUUACCAAGGCAACGAUGCGUAGCCGACCUGAGAGGGUGAUCGGCCACACUGGAACUGAGACACGGUCCAGACUCCUACGGGAGGCAGCAGUAGGGAAUCUUCCGCAAUGGGCGAAAGCCUGACGGAGCAACGCCGCGUGAGUGAUGAAGGUCUUCGGAUCGUAAAACUCUGUUAUUAGGGAAGAACAAAUGUGUAAGUAACUAUGCACGUCUUGACGGUACCUAAUCAGAAAGCCACGGCUAACUACGUG
rnacentral:rRNA from 1 species